ACUUAUUCUCAGGGCGGGGUGAAACUCCCCACCGGCGGUAAUUGUCCAGAUGUCAGACAAAAGCCCGCGAGCGCCUGUUGUUCAGUACAACAGGGUCAGCAGAUCUGGUGCGAAUCCAGAGCCGACGGUUAUAGUCCGGAUAGGAGAGAAUGAAG
rnacentral:ncRNA from 1 species